rnacentral:rRNA from 1 species
GACGAACGCUGGCGGCGUGCCUAAUACAUGCAAGUCGAGCGGACGAUUCGAAAGCUUGCUUUUGAAUCGUUAGCGGCGGACGGGUGAGUAACGCGUGGGCAACCUGCCCUGUAGACGGGGAUAACACCGAGAAAUCGGUGCUAAUACCGGAUAACACGAAAUGUCGCAUGACGUUUCGUUGAAAGGCGGCGCAAGCUGCCGCUACAGGAUGGGCCCGCGGCGCAUUAGCUAGUUGGUGAGGUAACGGCUCACCAAGGCGACGAUGCGUAGCCGACCUGAGAGGGUGAUCGGCCACACUGGGACUGAGACACGGCCCAGACUCCCACGGGAGGCAGCAGUAGGGAAUCUUCCGCAAUGGACGAAAGUCUGACGGAGCAACGCCGCGUGAGCGAAGAAGGCCUUCGGGUCGUAAAGCUCUGUUGUUAGGGAAGAACAAGUAACGUAGUAACUGACGUUACUAUGACGGUACCUAACGAGAAAGCCACGGCUAACUACGUG